AGGGCACUGAGUGAGGGGUCCCUGUUCCUGCAGGCCGGUGGCCGAGAGCUCCCUCUACCGACAGCGGCUGGAGGUCAUCGCCGUAAGUGACCCCGCCCGGGAACCCCAAGGCCUCCCUCCCCUGCCGGGUCCAGGGCACCCCAUAAACCCCAGCAUGCCGCCUCCAUUCUCCCGCUUUCUGCUCCCUCGGAAAGGUGGGGCUGCAGCCCGGCACGCCCAGACAUUCCCAGACACCCCAUGUCCGAGCCCCUGCCAAGCCCUGCGGCUUAGCACCCCAUCCCUGGAGCCCUCCCUAGGGACCCUUUGGCCCAGCCCUUCCGCGGACUCCGCCCCGCCUCCAUCUCGUACUCUUGUCUCUCAGCCCCCAACUCUCUGAGUUCUGCAUCACUUCCCAGCCCUCCUCUGGACCCCGAUUUCCCUGCCCCCCCAUAUUUGCACCCCCACUUCUCUGACCCCCCAAAUCUCUGAUCUGCAUCUCUGUGCCCCAUCUUUCUGUUCUCCACUUCUUCCCUGGUCUCUCCGGGGUUCUCCCAGCUGUACCCCACCUCGGACUGACACCUUCCUGCGCAUCCCCAAAUCUAGACCCCUCCCACCUCUGCGCACCGGAUCCGGGGAUCCCCUCCGACUGGAUUUCCCUACCCGAGGCUCCGCCCCCCAACCCCUCCAGGACCCCUAUUGGGCGCGGCGUGGCCUCCGCUGCCUCUCGGCCACGCCCCCUGCCCGCUGCCGCUGCUGAGUCAGCGCCUCGACGGCCCCUCCCCCUCUCAUACCCCACCCCCCAGCAGGGCUGGACCCCCGGGAGGGGAGGGGGAGGGAAGGGAAGGGGGAGAGGAGGUCCCGCCCAGCCCGCGCUCUGCGCAGGAGAAGCGGCGGCUGCAGGAGCGGAUCCGCGCCGCACGCCGCGAGCUGGAGGAGGAGAAGCUGCGCGUGCAGCGGCUCAAGAGGAAAUCCCUGCGCGAGCGCUGGCUGAUGGACGGCGCCGCGGAGACCCCGCAGCAGCCCGGGGACCCCGCCGCCCAGGAUCCCCAGUCACCCGAGGGCCAGGCCCAGACUCGCAUCCGCAGCCUGGAGGACAGCUUGUUCACGCUCCAGGCCCAGCUGCAGCUGUUGCAGAGCGCGUCCGCGGGCGCGCAGCCCCGAUCCCCGGCCAGGCCCGCCUGGCGCAGGCAGGGUCACCGGCCUCUCUCCCAGCCCGCCAUGGAGACAGGUCCUGCAGGUGAGUAUCGGCGGCCUCGGGUCUGGGGCUCAGGUCACCCCCAGACUGCACAGCCUGCCGGUCAUCCUCACCACCUCCUCCCCCUUCUCUCCUCUCUGGUUCCAUUAGGUCAGGCGGAUGUGGACAAGAGAGCGUCCCUGCCGGUGGGGCCCACGGGUUUGUUCCUAGAGUCCCACUCUGAGCCCAGAGAGGGGGCCCCCGGGCAGGUCCCUGGGGCAGGAGGGUACCCUCAAGAAGCCAACGGCCCCUGCUCGGGGCCCAGCCCUCCUCAGGAGCAGCGGCAGAGCCCGGGGCCAGGGACCACAGCGGAGGGGGACACUGCAAAGGCCCGAGCUGGGAAUGUGGUGGAGGUGGUGUGGGAGGGGCUCCGGGGGCCCCAGGACUGUGUCACAGGUGCUACCGGCCCGGAGUUGGAGGCCAGGGUGGAGCAAGUGGUGUUGGAGGCCUUGAGGGACAGACAGGGGCCCGGCAGCCCCGAGCUCCCUGCCUGGGCACAAGAGAACAGGGGUGUGGUGGAGGUGGUCUGGGAGGGGCUGGGGGGCCGUGACCCUGAGGCCCUGGGUGGUGUGGGCCCAGGGCUCCAGGAACGCCUGGGGGGUGAGGGGUCCCCAGACAGGGAGCCCAACAGGCAGGCAGGACCCGCUGGGGAUGCGGGUUCCUUCAUCUGGGUGGAGAGGGUGACGGUGGGGGAGGAUUGGGAGGAGCUGCUGAUGGAGGGGCUCGAGGGACCCGUGGAGGCUG
ensembl:lincRNA